UCCUUUCUUCUCACCAUAACUUUGGAAUGCCCAGAGCCUAUGGUGUACCCUUCCUCAGCAUGGCCCUGGUAGACUUACAGGCUUCCACAAUGUGGUAAUUAACAGCUACAUUUGGCAUGUAAAGUGGCAGCAAUGCAAAUAGAGAAAUACAGCCGUGGUAGAGAAAAAGCUGAGAAACUACAGAGACAGCAAGGCAGCACACUGCUGUACUCAGGUCUGAGAAUCCUGAUGCCACUCAGAGGAAGAAUAUUUUUUGCAAAAAAAUGAGGCAGUCUGUCAUGAUCCUCUCUCUGCCACCUUGGCUGUGAGAUGCAUUCGGCCUCAUUGGCCUGUCAGCUGAACCUCAGAUUGAUAUCACUUAUUUUCCUGGCACCAAACAUGCCACUCUGCAUGUUGAGGAAUCACAGGGAAAGACAGUGAGCACUUGAGGUUUGUUGAAGGAUGUAAAUGAGUACCAUUCCUUGGAAGGACUUGAGACAUUUGGAUGAAAAACUGAAAAGAAGAACAAAAAAACUUAGCCACUUAACCAUGGAAAAAUACUGACUACCUAAUCGUGAGUCUUCUGGAAUGGGGCACCCACAAGAUGAUGCAUCUUGACUGACAAUACUCAAGAAGAAGCUGUUGGUGCAUCCUCUCAGUGACAGUCUUUGCUGUUGCUCUUGUGACUAGGUUUGAAAAUUGAGAAUGGUGGAGUUCAGGAGACACAUUGCAAAAGAUCAGGAGAAAGAAACCCAGCUUCCAGCUUUUCUGUGGGAUAACAACACUUCAGAACAUGUCGGUCCAUAGCCGAGGUUUGUUUUCUAAGGAAACUUCAUCUGCAUAGUAAAUGUGAGUUCGGCAGUGGAUCUUAACAGAACUGGGCCCUGGAUAUGGAGUAGCUAAACAGAACAAGAUUGAGCAAAUCCCACAUUACAGCCAAUGCUGAAGAAGAUGCCAUAAUGCAGAAAAGAGCACGGCAGUCAUAUAAGGAAGUCUUCUGUGGGGGCUCAGAUUAUUAUGAUUUGGUUGAGUGGUCUCUUCUGGACAAACUGGCAAAGAGGAAACCAUACGUUGGACAUGGACAUGAUCAUAUAAUAUUUUGAAAUGUUGAACAAUUUUCAGCUGAUCAAUUUUUAUCUCUAACUGAAUUAAUGUCAUAAAGUACAUCCAGACAGUUAUCAUUCCCUUGCUACAUUUUUCCCCCAACUUCAGCCUCAAGAUAUCCUCAACUGCUGAUCCUGUUUUUGCAUUAGGGCCUGAAAUACUGAACUGUAUCUCUCAGAUAAAAUAGCAAUCCUCUGUCAUUUACCAGCUUGGGAGGUCUCCUGGCCAGACUUGCACAGAUUGCUCUUCAUGCCUGGGCUUUGAGUGUGUCUCCUGCAGGAAAGGCAGCAGGGCACCCUUGGCACAGCUUCACUUGGCUACUCUGAAGAAAUGCUCUUACUGACAGUGUGUGAUGUGAAUCAGAAACACACUGUCCUACACAAGGACUGGCAUGGAUGGCCACCAUUUCACUGAUCCUGUGCUCUAAUCAUCCCACUGCAUCCUUUCUUUUUACUCUACCAUGGUUUCUUGUUCCUUAGUGCCAGAGGAUGGGCCAGCCACCCCCAAUCAUAGGUUUGCCUCCUUGCCAGGAAUCUGUAGGCAC